rnacentral:lncRNA from 1 species
UUAAUAAUGGAAUUUAAGUUAAUAGACUUAAAUUCAGUUAUCGCCGGGGCCACUCACGGAUUGUGUUUCAUGUUUUAGAUUUACCCAACAUGUGUGACGUUAUAUUCUGUGACGUCAUUUAGUCCUUUUUAGAAUUUCAUCGCAGCAAGCAAGCUGUUUAAAUUUUGUAAGCGGUAAACUUGAAAAUUGAAAUGGUAAAGUAAACUAGUGUAAGAAUUUGUAUGGUUAUAACCUGACUCAUGCUUCUAAUGUUUAUUAGAAGUAAUCUUAGAAAGAAUUCGUUUUAUCGAUCGUCAUUUUUUAACCAUAUUGCAUCGCCACGUGGAGAGCACAUGCAAAGACUGAAUGAGAAAUUGGUCCCAUGAAUGGAUUAUUCGUUUUCAUUUUUAUAAUUAUUUAAUUUUUACAAGUGUGAGUAAUUAGAUGCAACAUUGUCCUAAGAUUUGCAGAUUAUAAUCAUGUUUACCAUGCGUCAUUGUAUAUUUCUACAUAAAUUAGAUGCACGACGAGUUUAAUUUGUUUUUAUUUUAAUUUUUUAUAUAUUACUUUUUCCCCAUAUCUUAUACUAUUGAAAUUGAGUAUUGACAGAUCGUCUAGUGCCUAUGGGUAAGCCUAACAAAUUGUAUUUUGCGCUGUAACAGAUCAUGCAGGUUAGUAACGUGUCUUUAAUGAUUAUGUGUUGUGGGGCAGGUGUUAUUUAAUGAACUCCCGAAAACUUCCGAAUUAAAAGUAAAUUUUCCUUAAGAGGGUAUACAUCGGUAAUUGUGUAUCUAGAUCUUUCAUAGCACAUAUACAGCAAAUAUUCCAUGAAAGGAUAUGAACGUAAAAGGGACGUACUCUUUGGGGCGAAGGACCCAGGUUCGUAACCGGAAGUUCAACUUUCGAUACAAAUAAACAAAAAUCUUGGAAAUCUUGAACAGAGACCAUACCCGGAGUUAAGAAGCAGUAGCCAAAAGAAAUCAUUGCUAAAUGUUAGCUUGCUGGUGGAUUUAAGCAAAUAUUAUCAUUAUCUGUAUAUAUAUAUCCGGCUAUAAAUUUUGCGUGUACCUACACAUUUGUGUACUAAAAAUUGUCAAGAGUCGUUCAUCACAGUGACAUGUAUACAUUUUUUAGUUGCUACUACUCUCUAGCCUAGACUAGGUCGAUAUGGUAUGAAUAGUUCAGUUAAAUCAAGAAUUUAGCCAUAUGUAAACAGGCCACAGCUUGAAUUAUUGUUGUAAUAACUCAAUUAUAUACUAAUAUUACACUAUGUUACUAUCAACUGACUAUGGAUUUAAGUUUAAUAAAUAUAUAAAUCUGUAUAUAUACUAAUUUUGAAUUAUUUUUUUUAAAUUAUUGUAACUAUUAUCGACACAACUACAUGUAUGAGUAUACGUAAUUUUUAAUUGUUAUUGUUUCUUUGUACAGUCAUUUGGUUUUGUUAUGUCAAUGCUAUGUAGCAUGGUGGAACUAAUAUUUACUUUUUGUUGAGUUGUAGCACAAUGUUGGGUAGAUCAGUUAGAGACCUUGCUCGGCCACAGAACACGGCCAAGGGUUGUAACAGUUGGACCAGAGACUUGGACAACAAGGACACACCAGUUUUUACAGAUGGUUACCAGACUGGACUGGAUUCACGACUCAUCACGCCACUAACUCAAGACACAGCACUCACACUUCACGGACAGAACACGGCCAAGGGUUGUAACAGUUGGACCAGAGACUUGGACAACAAGGACACACCAGUUUUUACAGAUGGGUUACCAGACUGGACUGGAUUCACGACUCAUCACGCCACUAACUCAACUCCUUUGGUCACCUACAUUUGUACAUUGAAUCAUCAUCAGAUGUUAUUUAUGCCAACCCCUAGAGCUUUGCAUUGGUAUGAUCCAGUUGAGAAUUUUUCAGGUAAUCGUCAGAUUUACUAGUUAAAAGCAGUAUAUUACUUUUAAGUUAAACCCCCUCAUGUACAAAAUGUACAUGUGAUUACAACAUAUAACAAAC